GGACCACUCAUCCCGAGUCAAGGCCAUACGGACAGCCGGGUCCACUGCCGA
rfam:Roseburia sp. 831b contig000008, whole genome shotgun sequence.